CCUACGGGAGGCAUCGCAUCAGAGGAAUUCAUGGUUGCUUCAGAGAUCGGAGAAGAGACUCUUCUGCUGUGUGAAAAAUGCGAGUACCGUGCCAAUAGCGAAAAAGCGGAAUAUACAAGACCUGCUGCCGGAGCAAAACCUGCCGCAGAGGAGCUUAAAGAGGUUUCUACUCCUGAUAUUAAGACUAUAGAAGAUCUUGUAAAAUUCUUCAAGUGCGAAGAGGAUAAAUUUCUUAAAAGCAUAAUAUAUGUUGCCGAUGGAAAACCCCUUAUGGUAGUGGUGCCCGGCAGCAGGGAAGUAAAUGAACAUAAGCUUAAAAACUUUGCCGGAGCAAUUGAACUUGAUCUUGCAAAUGAGGACAUGGUUUAUAAAGUAACCGGUGCGCCUUUCGGAUUCGCCGGUCCUGUAGGGAUCAAAGAUACCCCAGUAGUC
rnacentral:rRNA from 1 species